rnacentral:rRNA from 1 species
UCGAGCGGACAGAUGGGAGCUUGCUCCCUGAUGUUAGCGGCGGACGGGUGAGUAACACGUGGGUAACCUGCCUGUAAGACUGGGAUAACUCCGGGAAACCGGGGCUAAUACCGGAUGCUUGUUUGAACCGCAUGGUUCAAACAUAAAAGGUGGCUUCGGCUACCACUUACAGAUGGACCCGCGGCGCAUUAGCUAGUUGGUGAGGUAACGGCUCACCAAGGCGACGAUGCGUAGCCGACCUGAGAGGGUGAUCGGCCACACUGGGACUGAGACACGGCCCAGACUCCUACGGGAGGCAGCAGUAGGGAAUCUUCCGCAAUGGACGAAAGUCUGACGGAGCAACGCCGCGUGAGUGAUGAAGGUUUUCGGAUCGUAAAGCUCUGUUGUUAGGGAAGAACAAGUGCCGUUCAAAUAGGGCGGCACCUUGACGGUACCUAACCAGAAAGCCACGGCUAACUACGUGCCAGCAGCCGCGGUAAUACGUAGGUGGCAAGCGUUGUCCGGAAUUAUUGGGCGUAAAGGGCUCGCAGGCGGUUUCUUAAGUCUGAUGUGAAAGCCCCCGGCUCAACCGGGGAGGGUCAUUGGAAACUGGGGAACUUGAGUGCAGAAGAGGAGAGUGGAAUUCCACGUGUAGCGGUGAAAUGCGUAGAGAUGUGGAGGAACACCAGUGGCGAAGGCG